rnacentral:lncRNA from 1 species
ACCAUAAGGGAGGUGCCAACCACAAGCUCAAGGACUGUCGUAUACUGAGAAAGCAUUUCGACGGUCUGGGGUUCAAAAAAGAUACUGUUGAUGCAAAACUGAUCUGCAAACACAAAGGGCUAAUACCCGAUUCAAACGUUAAGGCAUGCCAGCCGAUUUGACCUUACUAUCGGCAAAGGUGAUAACUCGAAUACUUUAGUCCUGACAACAGCGAUGCGCCCGGAUGUCACGGCUAAGAGGUACUCAUGCGGAACUUGAGAACACGCC